rnacentral:lncRNA from 1 species
AAAGAAGAUCCGGGAGUGUGGCUGGUAAUGCAGUAUUCAUUUAAUUGGGAGCAGGUACCGGUGCAAACUUCUCCAUUUUAAUUGGAAAAAGGGAAGGGGAUUGUUAAGGACGAAGGAAAAAAGAAUGCAUAAAGUUUCCAAGCCGAGGAGCCAAAGGCAGCCCUGUCUAUGCCAGAGAAAGAACUCAAUUUAGGGCAAUUUGCUCUGCAAGCUGGGCUGCAGCCUCCCCUGGGAAUAGGGAUGAGGAAGAAAAUGAAACCAAAAGAGAA